GAGCAGCUAGGUAGUGUAGUAUGUAGAAGUCAGGCAGAAUUCAAAUCUAGCCUCAGAUUCUCACUAGCUAUGUGACCCUGUGUAAGUCAUCUAAUCCUGUUUGCCUCAGUUCAUUCAGGGUUGACAGAGCAGAGAGAUUUGAUUUGGUCAUCUCAGCUCUAGAGGGCAGAAUCAGAAGGAAAAAGCAGAAAUUUCAGAGAGAUCAAUUUUGGCUCAAUGUAAAGAAAAAAAUUUUAAAAGCAUUGUCUCCAAAAAUCGGUGCCUUCAGAAGAUGGGAGAUUAACCUCCAUUCUAGCCAUUAAGGGACAGCUCGGUGGUACAGUGGAGAGAGCACGGAGCUUCAAUUUAGGAAGAUUCCUCUUCCUGGGUUCAAAUCUGGCCUUAGAUACUUAGUAGCUGUGUGCCUCUGGGUAAGUCACUUCUGCUUGUCUCAGUUUCCUCAUCUGUAAAAUGAAUGACUGAAGAAGCAUCAAACCGUUCCAAUAUCUAUGCCAAGAAAGCCCCUAGAAGAGUUGGACAUGGCUGAAAAAUUAUUGAACUGAUAGGUUUUCAAGUAAGGAUUGGAUACCAACUUAUUGGGGAUGUUAUAGACGGGAUUCUUCUUCAAGUAUUAGACCAUACUAGAGUGGAUCCUGUGAUUGUCUGUCAAUUGCGCCAGCAUCAAUGCCUUGUGAGCCCUUACAUGCUGGUUAAUGAUCCCCUGUCAGGGAGGUUGCAGAGACAACUCUUCAGAGGACAAGGGAAAUGAUCUCCAAAGACCUUUGGACUCUGAGACACUGUGACUCUGUGAUCCAGAAAGGAAGCAAUACACACUCUAGGGAUUUUAAAGAUAUACUACAAGAAGACCACUGGAUCCUUCAUUUCAGAGCUGGAAGAAACCUCAGAGGCCAUCUAGUCCAAACCCCUGUCUUUAUAGGUUGACAUACCUGGAAGCCCUCGUGAGAUUCAAUGUCUCUGCUGCCUGAGCCACCUGCUAAAGUGAUCCCAGAAAUGUAGAGUCCACAGCAAAUUACCGAGUUGCAGUUUGGACUCAACUUGGCAAGUUGGUUGGGUGAGUGAACUCUCAACAAUGAAUUCCUGUGUAUUUGGGAAACCAAUCCACUCUGCAACCAGUAAUUUGUUAAACUAUGGACAAUCACAGAUAUGUGCCUGCCCCAGAAAAUCCUGGGGAGGGGACUGCUGCUGAAUACAUGUCCACAAAUUAUGGACACUUGCAGGUGUUUAGAUAACUAGCAAAAUUUAACUAAAUCUGACCAUAUGCACUUUGGGACAAAAUGGGGUUUGUUCUGGCCUCGAUUUCUGUGAAGCAAGUCAGCUGUAUGUAUCUUCCCCACCCUUAUCCUACUGGAAUAGGAGACAGAAUAGUGUGGUACAGAGGAGAAAUGCAAACAGCAGUAGAAAAGAAUCCCAUUUGGAUGGUUGGCUGAAACUUUGGAUGGAAGUUGAGAUGGUGUGUUGGAGACUUUGUUAUUAAAGCCCACCAUGUUUAAUCUAAGUUUGGGCAACCGCAUCAGACCAAUUAAAAAUGGAGGAAAAUUCCUCAUGGCAUAAAAUGGUAUAGCUUUAAUUUUUAACUUUAAUAUAAACUUAUGAUAAUGGUUGUAAAAAUGUAUUUAAAUCUUCUUAUAGAAGCUUAAGAACUUAAGUUUGGGGUUUUGU
rnacentral:lncRNA from 1 species